UUUUCAUGAAAUGCAGCAUGCAAACAGCAGAACCAUUCCUGUGUAGGAUUGUGUGGCUGUUCUGUAACACAGACAGCUAGACAUUACCUUAAUACUGUGAAGGAUGGUUUCUGGUACAGGCAAUGGUAGACAAAAUUGUAACUGGACAGGUUUUUCUUUGAUUAUUUAGGUUUUCGUUUGCCAAAUAUCAUUCCACUGUGCUCCAUACGCAUCUAUGAUCAUCCUCGUGCUCAGGGGUUGGCAGAGAAGUAAUAACUAGAAGCUGCAAUGACUUACUCUGCGGUACGGAAGGAAGAGGCCAAAAAGUUACCCUACAAAUCUGACUCACUGCCCCUUUCCAGCACUUGGCUGGGUCAGAGUUGGAAGUCAUACAUGAAGACCAAAGUUGUGAAAAUGUGCUUAUUAAUCUGUGUCAGUGAUAAGUGAGUACUGAAAAUUGGCAAGGGGAAACUGAAGUAGUCAAUGUCCCAGGGCAUUUUUUUUUCAUCAUGAAUCCCAUAUGGUGUGCCCUAGGAUUGAAUUUUCAUUAAUGUAGCAAAAAGCAGAAUGUGGCUGCCUGAGCUAUGAAAUGGCUUAGAUGUACAGUAUCCCAUGAGUCACUGUUUUGUUAGAGAGGAGAGGAAGCAUGAACAAUUAAAAGACACAGGUACUGAAAUUAAUCUUUUUUAACUUACAUCUUUGAUGUACCCAUGCUAGCAUUGUCAUGAUUUUAUUGAUUUGAAGUACAGUAGGAAGAGAAGGUAUCAUGGAGGAUGAUGGGAAAGUUCAGUCCUUCCCUCACGGUCUUCAGACACUGCAUCCCCAAAGCAACAGUUCGUGUGUAUAUGGCAAAGCACAUACACUUAAUAAAUAUAAAAUUUAAUGAAAAAUAUUAAAACAGCAUGCACAGAUAAUCUGCAUACAUGUAACUGGGUGAAUUAUUUAUUUGCAUUUGUACACUUUUCUUAAUUCUACUUUAUGAUUUUACAUUUAA